rnacentral:lncRNA from 1 species
GGGCACUACUUGCUGAAAAGUCUCUCUUUUUUUCUCAUUGAAUUGCUUUGACAAAGUCCCUUUGUUGAAAAUAAAUUGACUACCUCGUGCAAGUCCAUCUGUGGACCCGGGGUCCCGUCCCGUCCAUCUGUAUUUCUGUCCCCAUUCAAUAUCACAUGGUCUUGAAGUCCUGAAAUCAGGUCCUGGAAGACCUUCCACUUUGCUCCUUGUCAAAAUCGCUUCAGCGAGUCUAGGUCCUUUGCAUGUCCAUGUGAACUUUAGAAUCAGCUUGGAAAUUUCUAUUUUAAAGCCUGCUAGGACUUUGAUUGAAAUUACACCAAAUCUACGGGUGACUUUGGGAAGAUCUGACACCUUAGUAUUUUAUUUUUCAAGCCGAGGAUAUGAUCUAUCUCUCCAACCACUGAAGUUGUCUGAAAUUGUCUCAGCCAUGUCUUGCGUGUUUUAGUGUAAAGGGCUUGCACAUAUUUUUUUUUUUUUUUUUCCUUUUGGGGGCCGCACCUGUGGCAUACGGACUUCCCUGUGGCACAACAGGAUCGGCAGUGUCUCCGCAGAGCCAGGAGGCAGGUUCGAUCCCCGCCCGAGCACAGUGGGUUAAAGGAUCUGGCGUUGCCUAAGCUGUGGCGCAGGUCGCAGCUGCAGCAGCUCGGAUCUGAUCCCUGGCCCAGAAACUCCAUGUGCCUCAGGGCGGCCAAAAAAAAAGGAAAAAAAGGAUGAGAUGAGAUUCUAUCUUAAAAAAAUUUUUUUUAAGUUUCUUGGGCUCUGAACACUUGCAUUUCCAAAACCGGUAGUGAACUGUUUCUCCAGAUUUACAGAAAGGAGAUUCGAUAAGACAGUCUAGUUGUUCAUCAGGUGUGACUUGGUCUCUCCUUCCUCAGCUGCUAGACUCUCGUCAUUCCUAGUUUCUCUGUUGUUGCGAUUGUAUCUUGUGGCUGCAUGCUCAGUGUAUGGAAGUUCCUGGACCAGGGACUGAAUCUGAGCCACGGCUGCAACCUAUGGCAAAACCCACUGCAAGGAUGGACUCCUGGCCUUCGCAGCAACCCAAGCAGCCACAUCAGGUUCCUAACCCACUCCCCCGCAGUAGGAACUCCCAUUUCUGUUUUUUUUAAUGCAUGAAUCUUUUUCAGUUUCUUGCCUGCUUUGUCCUUUCCGCUUCCCUUAUGUAUUUUGUUUUCAGAGGCUUUUUUGUCUGAAGACUUCUCUUCUCUGGUGGCCUCCUGUGGGUUAAUUUCUACUUUUGCAGGAAUGGGUUUGGCCGACAACCCUGUCCUCGCCUGUGGGCUUGUCAUUUGUUGCCCCUUUGGCUUAACUGACCUUCCCGGGGCUCCCUGGGGAGAUUUCGCUGGGGAGGGGGGCUGCCCGGCUGCAGAGGCACCGACCCAUCGUGCCCACGCUGCUGGCACCGGGUGAGGUGGACAUUCAGGUUCACGGAGCAAACUUCGAGGCCCUGGGGCUGCCGUGGGGAAGAUGCUCACCUGGAGAAUGGUCCAGAAGUCGUUCUCACGACAAAAGGACCCCCAAGUCAACUUCACCCUUCAGACUGGGGGAACUUGGUUGGAAACCAUUUCAGUCCACGUGCCAAGCCUUGAAGGUGUCCUGUUUCCACAGGCUGUCGGAGGAGCCCGGGUCGUCUGCAUGGCACGUAACUGGCAACACGCACGUCCAUGCCGAGGCGCUGUUGGCCAGGCAUGACUCGUUCGCCUCUGGGUAUCUAAGUAGGGUGUGUCAACAGGUUCCUCAAAAAAAACCACAAAACGAAUAAACCCCAGCACGGGAAAGCAGACCCAGAGGCAGGCAACUGAGAUCUUUCCCCAAAGCCGCUGAAGCAAGCAGGGUGCUCACUGGCGCCGUUUGAAGGCUAACCAAUUGGCAGGUAAACUAUUCGCUGGCAUCAUGGCAGCUGCCCCGAGAAAGUGUGACAUCAUCCUGAACGCCAAGCAAACAGAGCAGGCCUCUCCGAAGGCCAAGGCAGGAGCUCCCGUCCUGGCUCAGUGGAAAUAAAUCUGACUAGCAUCCAUGAGGACAGAGGUUCGAUCCCUGGCCUCGCUCAAUGGGUUAAGGAUCCGGCGUUGCCGUGAGCUGUGGUGUAGGUCACAGACGCGGAUCAGAUCUGGUGUUGCUGUGGCUGUGGUGUAGGCUGGUAGCUACAGCUCUAAAGAGAUCCCCUAGCCUGGGAACCUCCAUAUGCCGCAGGAGUGCCCUAAAAAAAGACCAAAAAAAAAAAAAAAAACCACUUCGAAAUUGUUUUAAAAAACAAAACAGGAGUUCCCGUUGUGGCGCAGUGGUUAACGAAUCCGACUAGGAACCAUGAAGUUGCGGGUUCGGUCCCUGCCCUUGCUCAGUGGGUUAAGGAUCCGGUGUUGCCGUGAGCUGUGGUGUAGGUUGCAGAUGCGGCUCGGAUCCCGCGUUGCCAGUGGCUACAGCUCCUAUUUGACCCCUAGCCUGGGAACCUCCAUAUGCCGCGGGAGCGGCCCAAGAAAUAGCAACAACAGCAACAACAAAAAGACAAAAAGACAAAAAACAAAAAAACAAAAAACCAAUUUAAUUGCCGGUUGGCAUUUUUUUAGUAUUAACAUGUUGGCCAAUGUCUUUCUGAGGCAAAAGGCUCAUUCCAGAUACAUAAAUGUUAUUGUGUUCAUUACAACUUAGACUAAUAAUCCUAGAAAAUGUGCCUACGAAUAAAAAUAAAGGGUAUGCGGGCUGAGGCCCCUUAUCUUUUGGUUCCGCAGUGAAGCCAGCCUGGGGAUAGGAUGUGCAUAAAUCUGCUUACACAAUAAGGAAGCUGCCUGGGGCUGGACGAGAGCGCGGUCAGCCUGGCCGUCCUGCUCUGCCUAAUCCAAGUGCAGUCAGCGAGGGAAGCGCUGAACGUUUAAGCCACAGUCUUUCACAGACUCCCCUUGAUUCUGUGCCAGCCCUGCCGGUGCCAGGCUUUGUUGGGUUAAGCCCUGCAUAGACGUUCUUUCCUGAGCGUAAAAGAAGCAGGCUAUGCGAGAACAAAAUAGCAGGACAGGAGGGCUGGAGAAGAGGAAGCGGGAACACAAAAGCAGGGCUUUGUCCUUCAUCCCUGGAGAACAUCAACGGAUGGAGAGGUGAUUCAUGAAGCAGACACGCUUUGGGCGCACAGUUUGGAAAUCUACGCUACUUAGUAACUGCAUCAAGGGAUUAAAUAGUAGCUUGCACAUGAACCCAUUAAAAUGAAAACACAUUAUACACAGUAAUCUUUCCUAAUGUAUCUGUAAUCGAAACUUGAGACAGUCUGCACGUAAGAAGUUGAAUGAUGCAUUCCUUUAGCCAACAAAUGUAUCACUGGUGUUUUUAUAAAAAGACAAGGAAGCAAAAUGUAUGUUAUCUACAAGGACAGCUACAAAAUGACAAAUAAGGAAGAACAUUUAUAAAUACUAGCAUGUAAAUUCAAGAUACAUACAAAAACCUGUACACUAAUUUACAUAGUAUGAACCCCAAUUGGUAAGAAAAAAGGAAUUAUGGAUGGUAAAAUACUCGUAAAAGUAUCUAGAAGUUAAGAUUACAGAGUUUUCCUUUUUAGUGUUAUUUUAUGUUUCAGCCACAAGCAUUUAUAAAUUAAUAAUAAUUACAUAUUAGUGAUAAUUUACCUCUGAAAUUGGUCAGGGGAGGGGAGGAGAUACCAAAGAAAAAGAGGAAAAGAGAGAGAAUUUGAGCCUCAAGCAAAACAGGGGUGACACCAGGUGGGAAAGUCACUAAAUGCUUGAUGAUCAGCCACCAGCCAAGCUUUCUGCACUCAGACCAGCAGUUAAUAUUCAAAUUAAGCUUUUUGUAUUCUCAUUGAGAAAUACAGUAUAAGUUAACCACGACUCUGACUUUCUAAAAAGCUGCACUACUUUUCCAUAAUUUGGCCUUAGCAUUAAUUCUGAGAUGGUCUUUCUCUAGCUCACCCCCCCCCCACCGCAUCCCACUUGAAAUUAUCUCACGAGGCUAAAUUCAAAGGCAUCUGUGCAAAGGCUUUGCAACACCCCGAAAAGCGCCGGAGUGUGCACAGCUGGACCAGGCUUGAGAGGAAGCGUGAUAAGCACACCGACUGUUCCGAGGAAAAGUGAGUUUUACUUCUGCUCCCUGUCAGUGAAAGUGCAUGUGUUUAUUACAACGUGUUGACAUGAAACUUUAUACUUUAAAAACUGAACAGUAUUUUUUGGUUUUUGUUUUUAAUUUUCUAGUUGACUUCCAAGGUUGGAUUAGUUUCAGGUGUACAGCAAAGUGAAUCAGAUAUAAUAUACACACACCCAUUCUUGUUUCACAUAUUACACACCACUGAGUAGUGUUCCCGGAACACUCUUUUUGAACACAGUCCUUCUGAAUGCAGUAUUGACUGUUCACACAUGUAUGAUUUCUGCCCGAAACCGCUAUUUGGUUUUGCCUCUGAAACAAUCUCUCCUUUUAUAUCCCUACCUCUAAAUUCAUCUUACACGGAGCUGAGACCAUGAACACAACACAGGCCAUUCAUUCCCUGUUUCAUCUGCCAAUCCAAGUCAUUUAUUCCUAAUUUUAAACAUGCUUUCUUAAACAAAACAAAACAAAAAAGCAUUCAAGGGACUAAAUGCACGGAAAUGGAACUUGCCCAAGAGUUUCAUAUGUACAGAUUUAAAAGACAUCUGUGUAGUGAUCCAGGAAUCAGAUUACUUGUCAUGGGUUUUUUUUUUUUAAGGAUGGUAGAAAGACUGGGUGUAACCAUGGAAAUGUUCCAUCCUAAAACACGAGUCUCAGACAAAACCCCACAGCCUAGAAACAUCAAGGAAACCAAAGCCCUAGACUUCCGAUGGAGAAUUCAAAUUUACAUGACAUAGAACAGCUAAAAAGCCCCUUUCUCCACAACAGAAAAAAAAAGCGCUACACAGAGGGGGGGUCUUUUGCUUUUACUCCCAGCAAGAUGGGUUUUAUUCUGUGAAAGAAAACGCUUGUCAGCACCUAUAGAAAUAAGAUACGUGUCUAAAACUUUCCUCAAAAGGACUGUUACUCAGUAGCAAGAUUCGGCCACUGUCUCUAGAUAAUUGCAGUGUGGCAUUUACCUCCUAAAGUAAAGCUGGAUGUCCCCCCAUGUACUGGCCGAAAGGAGGUGGUGCUUUGGGGCGCAUGGGUCCCUUCCUCUUGGUCUACACUCAAAGGGAAGCCACUGAAACUUGGACACAUUCAUGUAAAGACAAUAAACCCUCUUUCGCCAAAGAAACAAGUAUGGACUAUCAACACGGAGGUUUAUUAAGGAACUAGUUUAUUAAUUCAACAAAUAUUUGCCCUAUGCCUGUCAUAUGGUAAACCCUGCCAA